rnacentral:snoRNA from 1 species
UUUCAUACAAUAGUCUGUUGAUUUUGGUUUGCACUAGGAUGCAAAAGAAAGAAAUCCUGCGCUUUCUGUGUGUCUUUAUGGCGGCCCACAUUGAAUUGGGGAGUACACUU